rnacentral:rRNA from 1 species
CCUACGGGUGGCAGCAGUGGGGAAUAUUGCACAAUGGGGGAAACCCUGAUGCAGCGACGCCGCGUGAGUGAAGAAGUAUUUCGGUAUGUAAAGCUCUAUCAGCAGGGAAGAAAAUGACGGUACCUGAUUAAUAAGCCCCGGCUAACUACGUGCCAGCAGCCGCGGUAAUACGUAGGGGGCACGCGUUAUGCGGAUUUACUGGGUGUAAAGGGAGCGUAGACGGCAGGUCAAGGCUGGAGUGAAAUGCCUGGGCUUAACCUCGGAACUGCUUUGGAUACUGGGCAGCUUGAGUGCAGUAGAGGGAAGUAGAAUUCCAGGUGUAGCGGUGAAAUGCGUAGAUAUCAGGAGGAAUACCAGUGGCGAAGGCGGCUCACUGGAC